rnacentral:tRNA from 1 species
GCCAGUGUUGCUCAGUGGAUAGAGCGUUGGCCUGCGGACUGAAGGGUCCCGGGUUCGAUUCCCGGUCAGGGCA